GGGGUUGACUGGAUUUGACAGCGGGAUGAAAUGGUACGUAAGCACGCGGAGCCUCGUUGGCUAUCUCCUUAAACGAAGUGAACAAACAAUUAAUUGGCAACAAUCAGUAUGCUCUCGCAGCAUAGUCGAAGUACAGUAGACUGUUAGCUUAAUUUCCUUGCAAGGCGAGGAAACGAGACAUCGCUCCAAGGGUGUCGUUCCGAAUCCAAGGGUCAAGCGGUGCAGGUAAAUCGGAAAUAGCCUUUGCAGGCCUCGAUGCAUGGGUGAAACUUUAGAGGAUAAGGUGCCGGUUGGUGGUCCAGGUCUUGCCGUCACUCGAAAAUGAAGUCUGGAAUAAGCGUGUAGAAAGCGUAUGGUUUCCCUGUUUGGACGAGGGUUCGACUCCCUCCAGCUCCAC
rnacentral:tmRNA from 1 species